GACGAAAAAGGGGGAAUUUGAGGCGAAAAUCGGGAAUUUGGGGUGAAAAAUCGGAAAUUUGGGGCUAAAAAUUGGGAAAAUGGGGUGAAAUCCGGGAAUUUGGGGCGAAAUUCGGGAAAUUGGGGUUUAAAAAGGGGAAUUUGGGGUGAAAAAUCGGGAAUUUGGGGUGAAAAUCGGGAAUUUGGGGUGAACAAAAGGGGAAUUGGGGAUGAAAAAUCGGGAAUUUGGGAUUAAAAAUCGGGAAUUUGGGGUGAAAAUCGGGAAAUUAUGGUGAAAAAUGGGGAAUUAGGGUGAAAAAAGGGGAAUUUGGACUGAAGUUCGGGAAUUUAGGGUGAAAAAAACGGGAUCCGCCCGCGGUUGGGGCUGCAUCACCGGUGAUCCCUCCGCCGGCAGGACCGCAUCACAAAUAGUCCCUCCUGGCGGAUCACUCCGCGGCCGGGCCGCAUUACCGCGGGUCCGUCCGGCGGGUCCCUCUGUUUUUCACAUUUGGGGGAUCCCAGGCUGCUUAACUGGAUGGUGACAGUUUCAAAGUCACGGCUGUGCUGAGCAUUUCACAGCUCUGCAGGGAUUUCAGAGCUACAGUGGAAGAUAUAUUUCUUGUGGAUGUUGCUGUGAGAUUGCAGAAGUCUUGGAAUUAUCCUCUCCCAGAUUAUCCUCCUCACAGUUCAUUCCUAUGGGAUGUGGCCAUGGAGGAAUUGGAAUAUUUGGGAAUAGUCAAGGAGGUUACAGCACCUAUUUUUCCCUCUCCGUCACUCCUCUGGCACCUCAUUAGUGCAGCAUCGCCCAUUCAGCCUUGUGUCUCAUUGCAACAGGAUUGCUGA
rnacentral:lncRNA from 1 species